AGUGAACGCUGGCGGCGUGCCUAAUACAUGCAAGUCGAACGGAGUGGCGCACGGGUGAGUAAUGUAUAGCUAAUCUGCCCUUCACUAGAGGACAACAGUUGGAACCGACUGCUAAUACUCUAUAGUGUAGUAUGAGGGUAGAUUGUAUCAGCUAGUUGGUGAGGUAAUGCCUCACCAAGGCGAUGACGCAUAACUGGUCUGAGAGGAUGAGCAGUCGACCUGUAAGGGAGAAACGGGCGGGAAACCUACGGGAGGGGGCAGUAGGGAAUAGUGCUCAGUGGGGGAAACCCUGAAGCAGCAACGCCGCGUAGAGGAUGACACGUUUCGGAGCGUAAGCUCCUUUUGUUAGGGAAUCGGUACCUAACGAAUAAGCACCGGCUAACUACGUGCCAGCAGCCGCGGUAAUUC
rnacentral:rRNA from 1 species